rnacentral:rRNA from 1 species
GACGAACGCUGGCGGCGUGCCUAAUACAUGCAAGUAGAACGCACAGUUUAUACCGUAGCUUGCUACACCAUAGACUGUGAGUUGCGAACGGGUGAGUAACGCGUAGGUAACCUGCCUGGUAGCGGGGGAUAACUAUUGGAAACGAUAGCUAAUACCGCAUAAUAUUAAUUAUUGCAUGAUAAUUGAUUGAAAGAUGCAACUGCAUCACUACCAGAUGGACCUGCGUUGUAUUAGCUAGUAGGUGAGGUAACGGCUCACCUAGGCGACGAUACAUAGCCGACCUGAGAGGGGGAUCGGCCACACUGGGACUGAGACACGGCCCAGACUCCUACGGGAGGCAGCAGUAGGGAAUCUUCGGCAAUGGACGAAAGUCUGACCGAGCAACGCCGCGUGAGUGAAGAAGGUUGUCGGAUCGUAAAGCUCUGUUGUAAGAGAAGAACGGGUGUGAGAGUGGAAAGUUCACACUGUGACGGUAUCUUACCAGAAAGGGACGGCUAACUACGUG